rnacentral:lncRNA from 1 species
CACUCCUGAUGAUGAGAUGUGACCUGUUUUAAUCACUGCUGUCCACUGUCAGGUGAAAGUUCUGAAACGCAGCCGUGAGAUGAAUAGCAAUGACACGUUUUGGGCACAGCAUUGCAAAAUCAGACUGCAAAAGACAGUGCUGGCAGAGACCAGCUCCAGUUGUUCAGAGCAGACCAAAAUUGAUGCGUUGCAAGAGUAGGACCUUUCUGAGUGCUGAGAUUGCACCUUUAAACAAUUUUC